rnacentral:rRNA from 1 species
UACAGAGGCCCCGAGCGUUAUCCGGAAUCAUUGGGCGUAAAGGGUGUCAAGGCGGUCAUGUUAGUCUUCCGUAAAAUCCAGGAGCUCAACUUCUGGCCGGCGGGAGAAACGGCAUGACUUGAGGUUGGAAGAGGUGCGUGGAACUCACGGUGUAGGGGUGAAAUCCGUUGAUAUCGGAAGGAACACCAGUGGCGAAAGCGGCUUCCUGGUCCAGCACCGACGUCAGGCACGAAAGCGUGGGGAGCAAACAGG